rnacentral:rRNA from 1 species
GAUGAACGCUGGCGGCGUGCCUAAUACAUGCAAGUCGAGCGAACAGAUGAGGAGCUUGCUCCUCUGACGUUAGCGGCGGACGGGUGAGUAACACGUGGAUAACCUACCUAUAAGACUGGGAUCACUUCGGGAAACCGGCGCUAAUACCGGAUAAUAUAUUGAACCGCAUGGUUCAAUAGUGAAAGACGGUUUUGCUGCUACUUAUAGAUGGAUCCGCGCCGCAUUAGCUUGUUGGUAAGGUAACGGCUUACCACGGCGACGAUUCGUCGCCGACCUGAGAGGGUGAUCGGCCACACGGGAACUGAGACACGGCCCAGACUCCUACGGGAGGCAGCGGUAGGGAAUCUUCCGCAAGGGGGGAAAUCCUGACGGAGCAACGCCGCGUGAGUGAUGAAGGUCUUCGGAUCGUAAACCUCUGUUAUUAGGGAAGAACAAAUGUGUAAGUAACUAUGCACGUCUUGACGGUACCUAAUCAGAAAGCCACGGCUAACUACGUG